UCUAAUGGUGAAGCUCUAAUAUGAUUAGAAAAUUUCUGGGUACGAUUAGAAAGGGGUUGUAAAGCAGAAGAAUUGGGCCGAGAAUGAAGUCCUCCAUGAGCAUUUGGGCGUCUUGUUUGGAGACUAAAAGCACCAUUUAUGGAUUCAGAAUCAUCUUUUGUGUCCAAAUAAUCUAAAGCUUCACCAAUUUCUGAGUCUGAAGACCA
rnacentral:lncRNA from 1 species